CUUGUCCAUAUUUUGGCUGACCAUUUCCCUCUUGGCUCUCGUGUCUUCGGAACUCUGUGGAAGCUUGCCGUUAUUACUGCCACCGUUGCAAUUUGUGCAUGUCUUAUUUACCUCUGGAGAGUUGUCCUUGCUUUAAUGUACAGCAAAAAACUGCAAAGAGCAACACGUUGGAGAAAGAAAACACAGAGCUGGCUGAAGCAAUAUCCAUGUGGGAACAGAAGAUACAUCUUCAAGAAGCUAAGAGAGAAAGUAACAUUCACUCUGCUGAAGCUCUUAAGUUGAAAUCAGAAGAUGCAAACGGUCAGUUGGAGGAACUGAGACCCUGGAGGUCCAAUAAACGUGCACUGGAAGCAUGGAAAAAGGCCGCGGAAGACCUUCAUAAUGAUUUGAGGUCUAUUAAAGCAAUCAGGGAAGAAACAGCCAAAAGGCUGAAGGAUACAGGAGACAUCCUUCAUAAAUUCUAUGAAGAAAGAAAAAUGGCUACAGCAAAGAAUCUGGAUAUGACAAACUGUGAACUAGUGGCAAUGAAGAAUCAGAUGGCAACUGCAGAGGAAAAUCUGAAAAUAGCUACAAGGGACAUACACAAGUGCAAACAGGAAAUUGAACAAACACGAGAACAGCUGCAGAAGGCAGAACUCACCUUCACACACCAGGUAACGUGAGUUCUGCCUGACAUAUUGAACCCUUAGUACCUCAUGUGGUUGAGUGUAGUGGCCCUUGGAAUUCCUAAACACGGACUUUUCAUUGUUGCUUUUUCAGGUCGCAGUUUAUGAGCGUAAUGCUGCGGAAAACUGGGUAAGUGUUUUCCUUUUUCCUCCUCUCUCUUUGAGCUGCCCUGUUGAAAGUUAUUUGACUAAUUAUGAAGAACAUGAGCCAGGACCCUAUGGUUUCUUCAUUAAGAUAUGAUGGGAUAGAUCUCCCCCUUAUCACUGGGGUCAACUGAGGCUUGUGGGUUACUCUCUGCCUCUCCUCCUGGUCCUGAGUGUGGGCAAGAGUUUAACACGACACAAAAUGUGGUGUUUGCGUGAAUUCUGCACAGUCUACUAAAAUCAGAGUAAACCUCUAUCCCUUUUAGAGCCUUCAGCCGAAGCUGGUGUCACUCCCAUGAGUCACAACUACAAGCAGUCUACCAACAAUGCCGAGAAGGACAAGGGCAGUGUGGAUCCGUGGCGACCUCCUCCAUCAACUGGAAGAUUCUGCACACCCUACCCUAGAGGCCACCGUAUGAUCUCCUGUGCACAUCCACCUCCUGUGCCAGGUUCGGGACCAUCCCGAAACCCUCCACCUGCACCACUUGGGCCUUUUUCAGAUCCACAUGUUGCUUCUGUGAGUAACAACAACACUGACUCUACCAAAAGGAUCACGGAGGACAAGGCCAUUAUGAAUGCAAGAGGGCCUGGUCCUUCCCCAGGAUCGCCUUGCAGGCUGUCCCCCAUGGACCACCCUUCACCACCAGUCACGGGCGAUGGGCCACCUCCGCCUCCUCCACCAGCUCCUCCACGUACUAAAUUUGGUUUGCGUCUCCGAAAGUUCCCUCGCAAUCUCCUGAGGUUUUGCCUGUGUUCCUGCUGUGUCAGCUCUAACACCAGCUCUCGGCGGUCAUCUCAGAGCCUCAGGUUUGUAAUCUGAGAAACAGGGACAAUGUUGGUUUCUGAGGUCAGUACGAUGAAGAGGUGAGAAGCACUUAAGGAAUUUGUAAAAUGUAUGGGAGGAGUGGACACUCACCCUUCUCAGGGUGGAAAUGAAUGUAUCUCCACACAGAAGGUCCUCAACAGAUGUUCAUUCAAUUUCAUGAAACUAAGAGUGUAAUGCCUGAGGCUGAGAGGUUGGCAAUCCCUGUUUCAAAAAAUACGGCAAAGACCCCUGUGUUUUUUCUUUUAAAAUUCAGGUCCUACUUUAUGAAAAAGAAAAAGAUAACUGUGAUAGUGUGUACAUUCAGGGAUCUAUAUCUAAGAUUUGAAGACAGUCCUAAUCCCUUAGAGGUAGACACACAGAUGCAGCCACACAAUUAAGUGUUCAUCCAAGGCCACAGAUAUAUUGUUGAAGACAAAAUACAUAGAGGAGAACACAAGAUCCCAUUGCAAUAACCCAAAAUCUCGUUGCCUUACAGGAGAAUGCGAACUUCGUGGACCCUGAACUAUGACCAAUAGGCUGUGGUGAUGUGAUAUAUUUAGAAAAGUUGUCUGAUAUGCAUAUUUGACUGAAUUCUUUCCCUGACCAUUCCUGUCCCCUCUAUUUUGUUUUUCCUCGUUUCCCUUAAUAAACCCAUCACAGUUCUGUAUCUCUGUCA
ensembl:lncRNA